AUCCAGCUGAUGAGUCUCAAAUAAGACGAAAUGCUUGUCCUGGAU
rfam:Schistosoma curassoni strain Dakar, Senegal genome assembly, scaffold: SCTD_scaffold0002474